AGCAGCCGCGGUAAUUCCAGCUCCAAUAGCGUAUAUUAAAGUUGUUGCAGUUAAAAAGCUCGUAGUUGAAUUUCGGGGUCAGUAGGUUGGUCGUGCCACCGGUACGUACUGGUCUCACUGAUUCCUCCUUCCUGAUGAGCUGUAAUGCCAUUAAUUUGGUGUUGCAGGGAAUCUGGACUGUUACUUUGAAAAAAUUAGAGUGUUUAAAGCAGGCUAACGCUUGAAUACAUUAGCAUGGAAUAAUGAAAUAGGACGUUCGAUCCUAUUUUGUUGGUUUCUAGGAUUGACGUAAUGAUUAAUAGGGAUAGUUGGGGGCAUUAGUAUUCAAUUGUCAGAGGUGAAAUUCUUGGAUUUAUUGAAGACUAACUACUGCGAAAGCAUUUGCCAAGGAUGUUUUCAUUAAUCAAGAACGAAAGUUAGGGGAUCGAAGACGAUCAGAUACCGUCGUAGUCUUAACCAUAAACUAUGCCGACUAGGGAUCGGAUGAUGUUAAUUUUUAAUGACUCAUUCGGCGCCUUAA
rnacentral:rRNA from 1 species